rnacentral:rRNA from 1 species
GACGAACGCUGGCGGCGUGCUUAACACAUGCAAGUCGAACGGAAAGGCCCUGCUUUUGUGGGGUGCUCGAGUGGCGAACGGGUGAGUAACACGUGAGUAACCUGCCCUUGACUUUGGGAUAACUUCAGGAAACUGGGGCUAAUACCGGAUAGGAGCUCCUGCUGCAUGGUGGGGGUUGGAAAGUUUCGGCGGUUGGGGAUGGACUCGCGGCUUAUCAGCUUGUUGGUGGGGUAGUGGCUUACCAAGGCUUUGACGGGUAGCCGGCCUGAGAGGGUGACCGGCCACAUUGGGACUGAGAUACGGCCCAGACGCCGACGGGAGGCAGCAGUGGGGAAUAUUGCACAAUGGGCGGAAGCCUGAUGCAGAAACGCCGCGGGCGGGAUGACGGCCUUCGGGUUGUAAACCGCUUUCGCCUGUGACGAAGCGUGAGUGACGGUAAUGGGUAAAGAAGCACCGGCUAACUACGUGC